UCGCGGCUUAUCACCGGCAGUCCCCUUAGAGUGCCCAACUGAAUGAUGGCAACUAAGGGCGAGGGUUGCGCUCGUUGCGGGACUUAACCCAACAUCUCACGACACGAGCUGACGACAGCCAUGCAGCACCUGUCUCAAUGUUCCCGAAGGCACUCCGCUAUCUCUAGCAGAUUCAUUGGAUGUCAAGGCCUGGUAAGGUUCUUCGCGUUGCUUCGAAUUAAACCACAUGCUCCACC
rnacentral:misc_RNA from 1 species